AUUUAAGUAGUUUAAUUAAAAUAUUGAUUUGUGAUAUCAAAGAUAUAAAAAUUUAUCUUAAAUU
rnacentral:tRNA from 1 species